CAUGUGAUACGUGCUGCCUGUGGAUCCUGUCUGCCAGCUGCACAGCACUGAAGUUGUCAAAGUUUGUACAACUGAGAUAUCCUUGGUUUUCAAGAAACCCCGCCAUGGCAGAAAUGGGUUUUGUGAUCGCGAUGUCCGUGAUGACUCUGUUUUGGGGCAUUAUCGGAGGAGUAGUGCCGUGGUUCAUCCCCAAAGGACCAAACAGAGGAGUGAUAGUCACAAUGCUGGUGUUAACUGCUGUUUGCUGCUACCUGUUCUGGUUGAUAGCAAUUCUGGCCCAGCUGAACCCACUUUUUGGGCCGUCUCUGUCCACUGACGUCAUCUGGUACCUGAACUAUCACUGGGCUUAAUUUAUUCUUAAAAUAUUCCCGAAUCAUGCAGGUACACUUCCUCCUCUGAAAAAACAGGGGAGGAUCUGAUUCUGCUGCAUACCAAUGGGCGUUUGCUUCUCACCUCAUGCUGAGAUAAUUCCUUCUAAACUCAGACCCCUGUUUGAUAUACAGAGUGAUGCCCACACUUGUGUAAAAAAUAUUCCCAAAGGACUUCUGAGAGAUCUCACUGAAUGUGCUUUACUUUAAAUUAAAACAACCUUCUCUUGUUGUCCGGUUUAUAUAUUAUGUAUAUCGUGUUUAUUGUUAAUAUGAAUGACCUGUCUUUAAAUAGUGAAGUGGAGUAUUUGAUGUGUGUUCGAUUGCUUUUGUCUGAUAAUAUUAGUGAUGGAUGUAAUCCAUACGAUAGUUGUUAAUAAACAAAAAAUACACCAUU